ACUCCUACGGGAGGCAGCAGUGGGGAAUAUUGCACAAUGGGGGAAACCCUGAUGCAGCCAUGCCGCGUGUGUGAAGAAGGCCUUCGGGUUGUAAAGCACUUUCAGUAGGGAGGAAGGUAGUGUAGUUAACACCUGCACUACUUUGACGUUACCUACAGAAGAAGCACCGGCUAACUCCGUGCCAGCAGCCGCGGUAAUACGGAGGGUGCGAGCGUUAAUCGGAAUUACUGGGCGUAAAGCGCAUGCAGGCGGCCUGUUAAGUCAGAUGUGAAAGCCCGGGGCUUAACCUCGGAAUUGCAUUUGAAACUGGCAGGCUAGAGUCUUGUAGAGGGGGGUAGAAUUUCAGGUGUAGCGGUGAAAUGCGUAGAGAUCUGAAGGAAUACCAGUGGCGAAGGCGGCCCCCU
rnacentral:rRNA from 1 species